UUAAAUUGGUUUUGGCUGUCUUUCGGUUAUUAUGGUCGCCCCCUCUUCGUCUUAUCGAUCAGUUGUGUUUCUUCAUCUGAUUCGAUUUAUCAGUCUUAAACCUUAAUCCUCUUCAUCCAUUUAAAUUGGCGUGCUCAUCUUAAAUACGUUCAGUUUAGGAACCGAUUGUUUUUCCAAAUGAAUUCAUCAGGGUUACGUUUUCCUCUGCUCUUCAAUAUCAAUCAUUUUCUUCUUCACUCUUUCUCCUGCUUUCAACGAUCUUAACCAUCGAUUCUGCUCGACCGUGAUUUUGAAGAUUUUAUUGUAAAUGGUGGAAACAUCCACUGAUAAAUUUUGGUAAGUUUGUAUAAGAUUGUUCUUUAAUCUUUUUUUUUUUUUUUUUUGAUAUAAGGGCUUUUAUUGCCACUUUAUCAAAAAUAACAAGGUUGAAGUAAGUACUAUAUGCGAAACUGGAAUUGCUUAUCAGCCCACUCUUUGUAGGGAGUAUUUACAGUAUUAUAGCAAUGAAAUUGAAUCUGGCAACUGGAAUGACGCCUAUUAUGAAUGUUUCGCCUUCACUUUUUGCUUUUGUUUUUAUGAGGACUUGGGCAAAGAUGCUUCAGAAAUCCAGGAUUUAAUCUGUUCUGUUUACUAGAAAUGAGAAUACCAUGAUUCAUACAUGUUUUGUUACCAUUAGAGGUUCAAUUUAGUAUCAUCAAGAAUAUCUUUGUUUAAAAAAGAUAUUCUUGAUGAUAUUCAAUUUAUAUUGUUUUUAUAAAUUCGUCUAAAAUAUUUUUGUUACAAUUUAAAAUCUUUAUGUCGGAUUGGCUUGGAUAUUCUAUGUAACUCUUUAUCAUCGAUAAAAUGUAGUUUACCCUUUUAUUUUUGUUGGCCUAAAUUUGAUUUCACUUAAUUUUUACAAUACUUAAAUGUGUUUGAGGGCUAAUCACUUUGUUGAAUUAUGGUUUUUACAUCAAUUUUAUGUUUUUGUAGGUUGCUGGAAGAUCACAGUUCUUGACUAUGCUAGCUUCUUAUGAAGACAAGUCUAAAUUCAUGCUUAAAUACCUCCGUCUUAAUCUAUAUAUCUUUUUGAUUUAAUAGAAGAUAAGGUCUUUGUUAUUGAUUUGAUUAUAAAGCAAAGAAAAAGAAAAAAGAUUUCAUGAUUCAGAAGCCUAAGAAAUAAGGGUUAAGAUUGUUGUUCAAAGAAUGUUGCUUGUAAAAUUACUUAACUGCCCUUUACUCUUUGUUUUUAUAGUUUUCAAGUGUUGGGUUUUCUAAUUUUUCUUAAUCUUGAUUGGAUUUAUUUAGCAGUAGGUAAAUCAGUUGCAUCGUUACUUGAUUGGAUUUAAAAAGGUUGCGAAACAUUUUUGGGCAAAUCUUUACAAAUCAUGCUAUGGUGAUAUAUAUACCUUAUGUAAUGUAAAUUAUUUAUUGAUCAAGGUUGUGAAACCCUUCAGCCAACCUAUAAUAAUAAUAAUCCCAAA
rnacentral:lncRNA from 1 species